rnacentral:lncRNA from 1 species
UUGCAGCAAGGCCAUCUCAACCCGAAUGCAACCGGCAAUGAGGCUUCAAAGCCUAACCUUUGUAAUCCUUGGCUUGACCGCUGUAGUGCAAAGCGGACGAUGUGCAAUACCAAUUCCAUGACAGCAUGUGUCCUGCGAAAUUCAAAUCAACAAUCAUCCAAAUGACAGUCCAAUUCAAAUCAGUGAUUAUUCAAGCAACAAACCAGUUCUUGAAUAUAAGCUAGUUUGGUUCAGUACGGAUAUCCACAGUUAGAUCAAAGAUUGAAGGAAAAUGCAAUUAGAAAAUGGGGACUUGUGGUAAAUCUCACGUGAACUUAAUUCAUGAUUUAAGACUCACCUUCACUUAAUGCCAGCUGGAUGGUGCAGAUUGAAUCAUUUCAGAUUUAAUUCUCCAAUUUGCCCCUUAGAUCCUGCUAUAUAAGCUGCAAUCAUUGCCAAUCAUUGGUUUCAGAAAAUUUUCCCUCUCAUUCCAAAAUCGUUUUCGCCCUCAAUCCUUCAACCUCUAACAAACUUUUCCAGCUUCUCCUUCAACCUCUAACAAACUUUUCCAGAUUCUUCUUCAACCUGUAACAAACCUUCAACCAUACUCAUAAUCACAAUCCAGAUUCUUCUCCUUCUUCCUCCAUCACCUAAUCUUCUUCAACAUCAACCUUCACCUUCCAAUCCACACCUUCACUAAACUCCGAACUCCAUGGCCAAAUCUUCAACCACCACGGAUCUGUAACCGUAA